rnacentral:rRNA from 1 species
CCUACGGGUGGCAGCAGUAGGGAAUAUUGCUCAAUGGGGGAAACCCUGAAGCAGCAACGCCGCGUGGAGGAUGACGGCUUUCGGAUUGUAAACCCCUUUUGUUAGAGAAGAAAAUGACGGUACCUAACGAAUAAGCACCGGCUAAAUCCGUGCCAGCAGCCGCGGUAAUACGGAGGGUGCAAGCGUUACUCGGAAUUAAUGGGCGUAAAGAGCGCGUAGGCGGGAUAGCAAGUCAGAUGUGAAAUCCUCGGGCUUAACCAUAGAACUGCAUUUGAAACUGUUAUUCUAGAGUGUGGGAGAGGUAGGUGGAAUUCUUGGUGUAGGGGUGAAAUGCGUAGAGAUCAAGAGGAACACUGAUUGCGAAGGCGGCCUGCUGGAACACAACUGACGCUGAUGCGCGAAAGCGUGGGGAGCAAACAGGAUUAGAUACCCUAGUAGUC